rnacentral:rRNA from 1 species
GACGAACGCUGGCGGCGUGCCUAACACAUGCAAGUCGAACGGAAAGGCCCUGCUUUUGUGGGGUGCUCGAGUGGCGAACGGGUGAGUAACACGUGAGUAACCUGCCCUUGACUUUGGGAUAACUUCAGGAAACUGGGGCUAAUACCGGAUAGGAGCUCCUGCUGCAUGGUGGGGGUGGGAAAGUUUCGGCGGGCGGGGAUGGACUCGCGGCUCAUCAGCCGGCUGGUGGGGUAGUGGCUUACCAAGGGGAUGACGCGUAGCCGACGUGAGAGGGUGACCGGCCACACUGGGACGGAGACACGGCCCAGAGUCCUACGGGAGGCAGCAGUAGGGAAUCUGCCGCAAUGGACGCAAGUCUGACGGAGCAACGCCGCGUGAGUGAGGAAGGCCUUCGGGUCGUAAAGCUCUGUUGCCAGGGAAGAACGGGUAGGGGAGGAACUGCCCUUGGCAUGACGGUACCUGAGAAGAAAGCACCGGCUAACUACGUG